CCUACGGGCGGCAGCAGUGGGGAAUAUUGGACAAUGGGGGCAACCCUGAUCCAGCCAUGCCGCGUGUGUGAAGAAGGCCCUCGGGUUUGAAAGCACUUUCAGUGAGGAAGAACGCCUGGUGGUUAAUACCCAUCAGGAAAGACAUCACUCACAGAAGAAGCACCGGCUAACUCCGUGCCAGCAGCCGCGGUAAUACGGAGGGUGCGAGCGUUAAUCGGAAUUACUGGGCGUAAAGCGCGCGUAGGUGGCUUGAUAAGCCGGUUGUGAAAGCCCCGGGCUCAACCUGGGAACGGCAUCCGGAACUGUCAAGCUAGAGUGCAGGAGAGGAAGGUAGAAUUCCCGGUGUAGCGGUGAAAUGCGUAGAGAUCGGGAGGAAUACCAGUGGCGAAGGCGGCCUUCUGGACUGAAACUGACACUGAGGUGCGAAAGCGUGGGUAGCAAACAGGAUUAGAUACCCCUGUAGUC
rnacentral:rRNA from 1 species